UAAAUAUGGCAAAGCAGUAGAAAUGCUGUGACGCAAAGCUAUAGGGUCUUUAAAAUGACAGCCAGUUGC
rnacentral:ncRNA from 1 species